UACGGAGGGUGCAAGCGUUAUCCGGAUUCACUGGGUUUAAAGGGUGCGUAGGUGGGCAAGUAAGUCAGUGGUGAAAUCUCCGGGCUUAACCCGGAAACUGCCAUUGAUACUAUUUGUCUCGAAUACUGUGGAGGUCAGCGGAAUAUGUCAUGUAGCGGUGAAAUGCUUAGAUAUGACAUAGAACACCAAUUGCGAAGGCAGCUGGCUACACAAAUAUUGACACUGAGGCACGAAAGCGUGGGGAUCAUACAGG
rnacentral:rRNA from 1 species